UGCGUAGGCGGGUCUUUAAGUCAGGGGUGAAAUCCUGGAGCUCAACUCCAGAACUGCCUUUGAUACUGAAGAUCUUGAGUUCGGGAGAGGUGAGUGGAACUGCGAGUGUAGAGGCGAAAUUCGUAGAUAUUCGCAAGAACACCAGUGGCGAAGGCGGCUCACUGGCCCGAUACUGACGCUGAGGCACGAAAGCGUGGGAGCAAACA
rnacentral:rRNA from 1 species